rnacentral:rRNA from 1 species
AGCGGCGAGUGAAGCGGCAAGAGCUCAGAUUUGAAAUCGUGUUUCGGCACGAGUUGUAGAGUGUAGGCUGGAGUCUCUGUGGAGCGCGGUGUCCAAGUCCCUUGGAACAGGGUGCCUGAGAGGGUGAGAGCCCCGUGGGGUGCUGCGCGAAGCUUUGAGGCCCUGCUGACGAGUCGAGUUGUUUGGGAAUGCAGCUCUAAGCGGGUGGUAAAUUCCAUCUAAGGCUAAAUAUUGGCGAGAGACCGAUAGCGAACAAGUACUGUGAAGGAAAGAUGAAAAGCACUUUGAAAAGAGAGUGAAACAGCACGUGAAAUUGUUGAAAGGGAAGGGUAUUGGGCCCGACAUGGGGAGUGCGCACCGCUGUCUCUUGUAGGCGGCGCUCUGGGCGCUCUCUGGGCCAGCAUCGGUUCUUGCUGCGAGAGAAGUGGUGCCGGAAAGUGGCUCUUCGGAGUGUUAUAGCCGGUGCCGGAUGUCGCGUGCGGGGACCGAGGGCUGCGACAUCUGUCUCGGAUGCUGGCACAACGGCGCAAUACCGCCCGUCUUG